CGGGGAGUAGCUCAGGGGCUAGAGCACUCGCUUGGGGUGCGAGGGGCCGCAGGUUCAAGUCCUGUCUCCCCGACCA
rnacentral:tRNA from 1 species